rnacentral:rRNA from 1 species
UGGGGAAUCUUGGACAAUGGGGGAAACCCUGAUCCAGCGAUGCCGCGUGGGUGAAGAAGGCCUUCGGGUUGUAAAGCCCUUUAAGUUGGGAAGAAGUAGCAUACGUGAAUAGCGUAUGUUGUUGACGGUACCGACAGAAUAAGCACCGGCAAACUCUGUGCCAGCAGCCGCGGUAAUACAGAGGGUGCGAGCGUUAAUCGGAUUAACUGGGCGUAAAGGGCGCGUAGGCGGUUUUAUGAGUGUGAUGUGAAAGCCCUGGGCUUAACCUAGGAAGAGCAUCGCAAACGAUAAGACUGGAGUAUUGGAGAGGGUAGCGGAAUUUCCGGUGUAGCGGUGAAAUGCGUAGAGAUCGGAAGGAACGUCAAUGGCGAAGGCAGCUACCUGGCCAGAUACUGACGCUGAGGCGCGAAAGCGUGGGGAGCAAACAG